GGAAAGUUUUGUUACACUGAAUGUGGUGGAUGCCUGGACAUCACUAUUGCUGUAGUUAACUGGAAAGAAAAGGAAAGACAAGCUCGAAAUAUUUUCAUAACAGGGCUUUUCCUUGUGCUUAAAGAAAACCAGAAAUCAAAUUGUGUUGCUUAGAUCAACCAAUCAAGAAGAGAUGACCUGUUGAGUGCAAUAUUUUUGGACUGAAAGCUUGUUGAAUUGUUGAAGUCAUCAAGAAAACUGCUCUUUCAUGCUGUAUCAGAUGCUGCCUGGCCUGCAGAGUUGCUCCAGCAUUUUGUGUUUGUUGCUUUGGAUUUCUAGCAUCUGCAGAUUUUCUCUGACCAUCAACACAGGGCCCCUCAGGGCUGUGUCCUAAGCCCCCUCCUUUACUCUCUGUGUACACAUGACUGUGUCGCCACCCACAACUCCAAUCUGCUAAUUAAAUAUGCCGAUGAUAUUGCACUGAUUGGCCUAAUCUCAAAUAAUAAUGAGGCGGCGUACAGAGAGGUAGCCAUCACCCUGACACAGAGGUGUCAGGAAACAAACUCUCCCUCAUCAUCGCAAAAACAAAGGAGCUGAUUGUGGACUACAGAAGGAAUGAAGACCAUUGACAUCGAUGGAUCUAGGGUUGAGAGGGUGAACAGCUUUAAGUUCCUUGGCAUAAAUAUCACUGUGGAUCCCACAUGGUCUGUACAUACCGGCUAUGUGGUGAAAAAAGCACAAAACUACCUCUUUCACUUCAGACAGCUGAAGAAGUUUAGUAUGUCCCCCCCCCUCCAAAAUUCUAUGAACAUUUUAUAGGGACAUGAUUGAGAGCAUCCUGACUGGCUGCAUCACUGCCUGGUAUGGGAACUGUACUUCCCUCAAUCGCAGGACUCUGCAGAGAAUGGUGCGGACAGCCCAGCGCAUCUUUGGAUGUGAACUUCCGACUAUUCAAGACAUUUACAAUGACAGGUGUGUAAAAAGGGCCUGAAGGAUCAUUGGAGAUCCAAGUCACCCCAACCACAAACUGUUUCAGCUGCUACCAUCCGGGAAACGGUACCGUAGCAUAAAAGCCAGGAUCAACUGGCUCUGGGACAGCUUCUGUCACCAGGCCAUCAGACUAAUUAACUCAUGCUGACACAACUGUUAUACUGACUAUCCCGUUUUACAUAAUAUUUAUUAUAAAUUACUAUAAAUUGCACAUUGCUUAUUUGAACAGAGACGUAAUGUAAAGAUUUUUACUCAUGUAUAUGAAGGAUGUAAGUAAUAAAAACAAUUCAAUUCAAUUCAGUUCUAGUGUUUGUGAUUUUGAAAUGAAUUCUGUUCCCCUCAUUUGAGUAUCUGUUAUCAAAUAUGGGUUUUAGAAAGAGAUUCAAAUGUAGGAUUAGAAAUUGGUGAUGACAGCACAAUACAAUCAAAGGAGAUUACAAGUUCUACUUGCAGAAUUUGGUUCAAUUUACGUCAACGGAAUUUCAAAGCACAACACAGAGAUAAAAGCUUCCACACAUGGUAGAGGCAUUUAGAAAGACACAUGAACAUUCAGAGAAUGGUGGGAUAUGGUCCUGUGCCUGCAGAUGGGAAUUAAUUUAAUUUGACUUCACAGUGAUCACAGAUAUUAUGGGCCAAAAAGGGCCUGCUUCUCCAUUGUGCUGUUCUAUGUUUUAUGUUCUGUAUGUACUUGGUAAACAACAGACAGGAUAAGGUCAGAGUUUACAUAAGUGCUGCUAAACCAAAAGAAAUAAGUUUUGCAAUUAAAAAAAUCAUUGAUACAAACUGUAGGAAGCAAUAGUGGUCUAGAAAUCUGAGCAAGGUUGCUAGAUUUUCAUUUAAUGCAGUUAUUGCUGCAGAAUUUUGUACCAUCAAAAGCCUGGGAUCUGGAGUGCUCAUGCUCAGGCAUUGUAGGUUUUCACAAGCAGCUAAGAAUGUGGCAAGUAGGGGAUCAGGAUGGAAAUUGGGUCAGAGGUCAAGGGCUUGAUCGAGGUCCCAGGGCCGGUCUAUUGCUACUCCUGUACCUACACCUCCUCUCUUACCACCAUUCAGGGCCCCAAACAGUCAUUCCAGGUGAGGCAACACUUUACUUGUGAGUCUGUUGGGGUCAUCUAUUGCAUCCGGUACUCCUGGUGCUGCCUCCUCUACAUUGGCGAGACCCGACGCAGAUUGGGGGACCGCUUCGUCGAGCACCUCCGCU